UACGUAGGGGGCAAGCGUUGUCCGGAAUCAUUGGGCGUAAAGAGCGUGUAGGCGGCUCGAUAAGUCCGCUGUGAAAGUCCAGGGCUCAACUCUGGAAUGCCGGCCGAUACUGUCGGACUAGAGUCCGGAAGAGGCAAGUGGAAUUCCCGGUGUAGCGGUGAAAUGCGCAGAUAUCGGGAGGAACACCAACGGCGAAGGCAGCUUGCUGGGACGGUACUGACGCUGAGAUGCGAAAGCGUGGGGAGCAAACAGG
rnacentral:rRNA from 1 species